CACACACGCAACAACACAAGCAUACGCACAUGCCACAGAGGCGCGUAUUAAACCGAGAAUACCCACACAACACACCACACGACCAACACAACAAUCAUACGCAGAGAGACGAAGGGACCGGGGAUCCGGGCGGGACCCGGAGUUAGAGCAAAAAAGAAGAGAGAGAGAGAGAGAGAGAGAGAGAGAGAGAGAGAGAGAGAGAGAGA